GAGUUCCCAAGCUAUGUUCAUGAGCCUCUGUGAGAGAGAACAAGCUGGUUGGCAUUUUAAUGGGCAAGAGCUGGAAUAUCUACAUAUAAAAUCUGGAGCAGAUCAAUAACAGCAUCAUCAUGAACAACAAUAACACUUUAUAUAUCAGGAGUAAAAGUGUAUCAGAAGAAAUAUUAUACCCUCAUAAUGAAGAGGACGGGGCUCUCCAGGGAAUGGAACAAUAUCGUGUUAGGAGACUCUCUUGUCGUAAUCUCCAGCUUCCACCUCUGGCAUUCAGGCAGCUGGAACAAGCAGACUGGGACAGAAAAGGGGAGACAGACACUGUGUCAAGGCCCACCAGUCUUCCACUGAGAAGUCUCCCACUAAUUGCUAUCACAGCUGCAGAAUC